UACGUAGGGUGCAAGCGUUUAAUCGGAAUUACUGGGCGUAAAGCGUGCGCAGGCGGUGAUGUAAGACAGGUGUGAAAUCCCCCGGGCUUAACCUGGGAACUGCAUUUGUGACUGCAUCGCUGGAGUGCGGCAGAGGGGGAUGGAAUUCCGCGUGUAGCAGUGAAAUGCGUAGAUAUGCGGAGGAACACCGAUGGCGAAGGCAAUCCCCUGGGCCUGCACUGACGCUCAUGCACGAAGCGUGGGAGCAACAGG
rnacentral:rRNA from 1 species